UACGUAGGGGGCUAGCGUUGUCCGGAAUCAUUGGGCGUAAAGCGCGUGUAGGCGGCCCGGUAAGUCCGCUGUGAAAGUCGGGGGCUCAACCCUCGAAUGCCGGUGGAUACUGUCGGGCUAGAGUACGGAAGAGGCGAGUGGAAUUCCUGGUGUAGCGGUGGAAUGCGCAGAUAUCAGGAGGAACACCAAUAGCGAAGGCAGCUCGCUGGGACGGUACUGACGCUAAGGCGCGAAAGCGUGGGGAGCAAACAGG
rnacentral:rRNA from 1 species